rnacentral:rRNA from 1 species
AAAUUGAAGAGUUUGAUCAUGGCUCAGAUUGAACGCUGGCGGCAGGCCUAACACAUGCAAGUCGAACGGUAACAGGAAGCAGCUUGCUGCUUCGCUGACGAGUGGCGGACGGGUGAGUAAUGUCUGGGAAACUGCCUGAUGGAGGGGGAUAACUACUGGAAACGGUGGCUAAUACCGCAUAACGUCGCAAGACCAAAGAGGGGGACCUUCGGGCCUAUUGCCAUCAGAUGUGCCCAGAUGGGAUUAGCU